GGAUGGUAGGGCAAUCUGGCUGUGACAAGAGUUGAUUCGGCUGAUCUGGCUGUCUAGGCGGGUGUCCCCUUCCUCCCUCACUGCCCCAUGUGUGUCCCUCUGGAAGCUGCAUGCUUGGUCGAAGAGGUCAGCCUUUCCUGAAUAGAGAUGGACUGGUCUUAGGUCAGGGUAUAUGAGUAGCUGCGUUCCCCUGCUAGAACCUGCAAACAAGCUCUCAAGAUACUGAAGAUGCUUAUGAACUGUAAAUAUAGAAUGGUCCAAUACCCAAGGGU
rnacentral:snRNA from 1 species